UACGUAGGGUGCGAGCGUUGUCCGGAAUUAUUGGGCGUAAAGAGCUCGUAGGCGGUUUGUCGCGUCGACUGUGAAAACCUACAGCUUAACUGUGGGCUUGCAGUCGAUACGGGCAGACUUGAGUUCGGUAGGGGAGACUGGAAUUCCUGGUGUAGCGGUGAAAUGCGCAGAUAUCAGGAGGAACACCGGUGGCGAAGGCGGUUCUCUGGGCCUUACCUGACGCUGAGGAGCGAAAGCGUGGGGAGCGAACAGG
rnacentral:rRNA from 1 species